AUCUUAUUCACAAUGCCCCAGAAUUUUAUUGUAUGCCCGAAAUGAUGGUUCUUUUGAAAAUGAAAUCCAACUUCGAUGAAGACCUUCUUCACCUGGAUUGGGAUUCAGACAGUAUGGUUCCCAUUUUUGAGUGUGACCGAGAUUUCUUUUCAGAGAUCCUACACUUUCUUCCUCACUUUUCCGAACUAGUGUGUGGAGUUCUGGUUGUGUCUCGCCGAAUUACUGUGUAUUUUUGUACAGAACCUCUACAACUCCACCGGAAAAAUGUUGAAGUAAAGAAGAAAAAUAACCUCCUCUACAACUCUGCAGUCUGCCUGCAAUUAGGUAGACUCAUCUGCUUCAUCUAGGAUGGUGGAGGAACCCGCCAGCAAAAGACAGAAGAAAGAAUGAUAGACCAUCAAAAGACUUUUGUCUUGGCCUAUUCUUGUCUCUUCCGCGAUGGCUCUACGGUGUUCUCGUGUCGGAAUUUGAGAAAUUGGAUUUGAACAUUACAGAGAUGAGAUGUAUGGAAGUGACUAGAGAUUUCGCUCAUGAGCACGUUGUUAAUAUUGGAUGGGAUCCUGAGGCUUUCUUCGAAGAUAUACCUAUACCCUUUGGGAGUUGUGUUGACUGCAUAGCUUUUGGUCAUAUUGGUGCUAUGAUUUUGGAGACUGGAGGGAGAUGAUGCUGUUCAAAAAGUUUGUGAAUUGAUAUCCAAGAAGCAACAACCACCCUUCUGGGUUGUCGAGAAAAAGACGGUCUACACCAGCGAUUCAUAGGAGGGAAGCCAGAAAAUUUUGAAUUAUGGAGAGAGGCUGUCUACACCAGCAAUUCAUGGAGCAGGCAAAUAAAGAUAUUGAUUUGUGGUUCUAUUCCAUUGACUUUUACAAAGCAGUUCGUUAAAGUAAAAAGGUGGUAUUCGUGCUUCCAGGGGGGGAUGUAUAUGGCCCACUGCACGAAGAAAAAGAUGAAUGGAAGCUAGAUGCCUCCUACGAGAUAAAACAGGAGCCUUUAGCUUUCCAGGAGCGUUGUGUUGGUGAAAUUUUGGAUGCUAUUGAGGCCAACUGCACUGGCAUAAGAGGUGUUGCUAGUAACCCUGCAUCUUUGGUUUUAUUUUAUCACGUACUUAAUUUUGGUAUCAUGCUCAAAUUGGUUACAUUGCGGUUGUAUUAUUAAGUUUAAUGUUAGGUUUAAAGCUUGUGAAAAACGCUAAACACCCUAACAAGGCAUGGCCUGCUGAUUCUGUUUUUUAUGGAGAUGAGUAUGGUGUUGGUGUGGUUGUUUAUAAUUUCAAAUCGAGUUUUAAGAUUGUGUCCGGGGAUUCAAAUAUCAAGAAUAUUAACUGUAGGAAUAAAGUGUUUGAAAUUAGCAGGUAAGGAUUUGUAAUGGCCGCAAUUUAAUUUUGAAUGAGUUUCUGUGUUUCUUUUUAAGACUUAUAUUCUUAAUUUGUUUGCACAGCAACUACCUUUACAAAGCCAGCCAGGUCAAGGAGUACUUGAAGCUUUCUUCCGAUUUUUUGGAUUAUGGCUUUAAUGUUUGGGCACAGGAAGAUGAAUGUUUGUUGCAUGGUUGUAUGUUUGAGGCAUCCUUAGUUGGUCUCAUCUCGUUGCUGUACUUAAUUUUACAUAUUCUCUUUCUAGUUAUUUUGUUAGUUGAUUUCUUUUCUGGAAGGGUCAAACACCUUCUUGUACUUGGUUUCUGGAAGGGUCCAACACCUUUAACAAAAGAAACAUACCAAAACUACUUUGAGCAACAGUUUUGUUGAAAAAGGUGACUUUGACUGGUUUCUACCUAUUGGGCAAAGAUUGAAGUAAACAAUAAGUUAGAAAACCAAUUUAACCAAUUUUGUACUGUUUUCGUC